CAGUAGCCGCGGGAAUACAGAGGGUGCGAGCGUUAAUCGGAUUUAAUGGGCGUAAAGCGUGCGUAGGCGGCUUCUUAAGUCGGAUGUGAAAUCCCUGAGCUUAACUUAGGAAUUGCAUUCGAUACUGGGAAGCUAGAGUAUGGGAGAGGAUGGUAGAAUUCCAGGUGUAGCGGUGAAAUGCGUAGAGAUCUGGAGGAAUACCGAUGGCGAAGGCAGCCAUCUGGCCUAAUACUGACGCUGAGGUACGAAAGCAUGGGGAGCAAACAGGAUUAGAUACCCCCGUAGUCCCUGUCUCUUAUAC
rnacentral:rRNA from 1 species